AUUGAACGCUGGCGGCAGGCUUAACACAUGCAAGUCGAGCGGAGAUGAGGUGCUUGCACCUUAUCUUAGCGGCGGACGGGUGAGUAAUGCUUAGGAAUCUGCCUAUUAGUGGGGGACAACAUUCCGAAAGGAAUGCUAAUACCGCAUACGCCCUACGUGGGAAAGCAGGGGAUCUUCGGACCUUGCGCUAAUAGAUGAGCCUAAGUCGGAUUAGCUAGUUGGUGGGGUAAAGGCCUACCAAGGCGACGAUCGGUAGCGGGACUGAGAGGAUGAUCCGGCACAUUGGGACUGAGAAACGGCCCAGACUCCUAUGGGAGGCAGCAGUGGGAAUAUUGGACAAUGGGCGGAAGCCUGAGCCAGCUAUGCCGCGUGUGUGAAGAAGGCAUUUUGGUUGUAAAGCACUUUAAGCGAGGAGGAGGCUACCUGGAUUAAUACUCUAGGAUAGUGGACGUUACUCGCAGAAUAAGCACCGGCUAACUCUGCGCCAGCCGCCGCCGUAAAAC
rnacentral:rRNA from 1 species